rnacentral:rRNA from 1 species
CCUACGGGAGGCUGCAGUGGGGAAUAUUGGGCAAUGGGCGCAAGCCUGACCCAGCAACGCCGCGUGAGGGAAGAAGGCUUUCGGGUUGUAAACUUCUUUUCUCAGGGACGAAGAAACUGACGGUCCCUCAGGAAUAAGCCACGGCUAACUACGUGCCAGCAGCCGCGGUAAUACGUAGGUGGCAAGCGUUAUCCGGAUUUACUGGGUGUAAAGGGCGUGUAGGCUGGGAAGCAAGUCAGAUGUGAAAACCACGGGCUCAACCUGUGGCCUGCAUUUGAAACUGUUAUUCUUGAGUACUGGAGAGGCAGACGGAAUGCCUGGUGUAGCGGUGAAAUGCGUAGAUAUUAGGAGGAACACCAGUGGCGAAGGCGGUCUGCUGGACAGUAACUGACGCUGAGGCGCGAAAGCGUGGGGAGCAAACAGGAUUAGAUACCCUGGUAGUC